AAAGCGAGGCUAAAUACAAGUCGCAUCGUUUUUCAGUCAACGAACACUCGUAAUUCCGUUUGUGUACAAGGUACGUUUUGUUCUCGUCUGACAUUAUUAUGGCUCGUACCAAGCAAACCGCUCGCAAAUCAACCGGUGGUAAGGGUAGCAAAAGUUUACGGAAGAAGUUGGCUGCAAAGGUUGGACGAAAAUCGCCUCGUGACAAGUCUGGUGACGUGAAGACUAAACCACAUCGCUACAGACCAGGCACAGUCGCUCUUCGUGAAAUCCGCCGUUACCAGAAGAGUACAGAGCUGCUGCUUCUAAAAAUGCCAUUCCAGCGCCUUGUUCGUGAAAUCACCGCACAGUUCACCAGUUCUGUCAGGUACCAGUCUGCUGCCAUCGGUGCAUUACAGGAAGCGGCUGAAGCAUAUAUGGUUGGUUUAUUCGAAGACACCAAUCUGUGUGCAAUCCACGCUAAACGCGUCACCAUUAUGCCCAAGGAUGUUCACCUCGCUCGCCGAAUCCGUGGCGGUCCUUAGAUACUCGUCAUGUACACAGAACAGACUACAUUUUCAGGGCCACUAACAAUCCACCAACAAGAAUAUUAUUUUGAAGCCGGGACUUAUAAUGGGGAGCAUUUUUCACUACCAUUAUUUUAUUUAAAGGAUUUUUUUUUGUAAUGCAAAUGUCCAUUGGUCAGUUUGGCAGUCUUUGUUCAGACAUAGCAGACUUGGUUCUAUGGAUCUCAGUGGACCGCCGGUCAUGUAGUUUUUUAAACUCCUAGAAUUCGUUUAUAGACCAAUUUUAAAUUAGUCCUUUUCUCUUGAAGCAUUUUCCCAGAAGCCCUUGCGAGGGCAAAUGGAAUAUGGAGACAGGCACUCGCGGGUUUAUAAAGUUAUGUUUUAAUCCUAACCACUUCGGUUUGAUUUUUUUAUGAAUCUUAGAUGUUAGAUAAUUAUUUUAGUCUGGAGAAUGUACAAGCAAGAUUCUAUUGCGGCUUUCAAUCCAAUUGUGACUGACCAGAUUACCUGCUGUAAAGCUAAGGAGACUUCAAAACUUAAACAAUCUAUCAUCCACAUAUCAUAGAUGCACUUGUGUGAUGAGCAUCCAUCAAUGUAGCUAUGUGAUGCAGCAUCCAUCGAUGCAUUUGUUAUGCAACAUCCAGAUACAGAUAUGUGAUUCAUCAUCCACAGAAAGAGAACGUUGUCAAUUUGCAACAGUUUUAAUUGUUGUCCAGAAACAGAAUAAUGUAGUUAUUGUCAUUAAUUGGAAGAGUUAUCUGAGUAUACAUUAAAUAGAAAAUUAUCACAUUUUA